rnacentral:snRNA from 1 species
GGUUGUUGAGGGCCAUCUGGCUGUGACAUCUGUCACCCCAUUGAUCACCAGGGCUGAUUCGGCUGAUCUGGUUGGCUAGGCAGGUGUCCCCUUCCUCCCUCACUGCUCCAUGUGUGUCCCUCUCUAAGCAGCAUGCUCGGUCGAAGAGGAUAAACUUGCCCACCAGAGGAGGACUGGUCUUCGGUCAAGGGUGUACGAGUGGCUGUGCUCCCCUGCUAGGACCUCCAAACAAGCUCUCAAGACUCAUUUAUUAGAUUCAAAUAAACAUCUUCGGAAGACAACAGUAGGGUGGAGUUCCACGAUUCUGACCUGAAACCAUAUGCCAAACCUGGUUCACUCGCUGUGU